rnacentral:rRNA from 1 species
CCUACGGGAGGCAGCAGUGAGGAAUAUUGGUCAAUGGUCGGGAGACUGAACCAGCCAAGCCGCGUGAGGGAUGAAGGUACAGAGUAUCGUAAACCUCUUUUGUCAGGGAACAAAGGCGGGGACGUGUCCCCGGAUGAGUGUACCUGAAGAAAAAGCAUCGGCUAACUCCGUGCCAGCAGCCGCGGUAAUACGGAGGAUGCGAGCGUUAUCCGGAUUUAUUGGGUUUAAAGGGUGCGUCGGCGGUAUGUUAAGUCAGCGGUAAAAGGCCGGGGCUCAACCCCGGUCCGCCGUUGAAACUGGCAGUCUCGAGUUGGAGAGAAGUAUGCGGAAUGCGCGGUGUAGCGGUGAAAUGCAUAGAUAUCGCGCAGAACUCCGAUUGCGAAGGCAGCAUGCCGGCUCCACACUGACGCUGAGGCACGAAAGCGUGGGUAUCGAACAGGAUUAGAUACCCUUGUAGUC